UACUCAUCCAUAUUGGUCCAUACUUUUGUGACGUGCUCUCAGCUUGAAAAACUUCUGUCAAUGAGUGUCUCCUACUGAGUCUCAAGAACACAAAGGAGCAUGGCCCCAAGCACAUUUCAGCACUUUUCUACCUAGUGAGGGUGCAGUAGGCUCCAAACUCAGCUCAUUGCCCUUAACUCUUUACUGGGAAAGGCAUUUUCCUUUCUUAAAAAAUCCUAAGCAUCCUCUUCCCCCUGUAUUUUCCUGCUUGUGUCAUUCUGGAUGUUAGCCUACUUGAGCACCUCCUUCUUCUGAUUUUACUCUUCUUAGAACUGUUCUUCCUUCCUAGUUAACCUUCCUUUUAGGAACAUUGACCUACAUUGGCAUUGUGGCUUAUUUUGAUUGAGAUGUUGUGGUUGGUUUUUUUUUUUUAAUAUAUACACUGUGAUACAGGAGGGCCAGGGAGCAGGGGUAGAGGGGAAAUAUAUAAGCCCCAGGCUAAUUAAGGUGUGGUUCCCUGUAGACUAGGGGGGUGGCCUCAGGUUAAUUGAAGCCCCUGAAGUCAAUUAAGGCUCUGUCAGGAACCUAAUAAAAACUCCCCUGCUUCAGGCAGUCAGGGAAGAUGAGGAAGGAGAGAGGACUGGAGCUUGGAGGUCUGUUUUGAAAAACCAGAGAACCUGAAAAACCAGGGAGACCCUGCUCCAGCAGGUGAGGGAGACUCCCAUCCCCAGCAUCUAAGGACCAAAGCUACCCCACCCAAGGGGGAAGAAGCGCAGCAAUUUUGAAUAAAGAGAAGUGCUGGAUGAUCCCAAAAAGGCCUGCAAUUCUAGUUCAGAUAAACGAAAUGAUCAACUUUAGAACAGAAAUUUGUAACCUUCAGUAAUAUCUCCUAUCCCAGAUGUGGAAUCCCACCCUAAUUCUUGCCCUUAUGAAAAGCCAGCACAUCCUGAUGCUCUUCCAUUGACUGUUCCAUCAUGGAAUGACAGCACAGCAAGGUA